rnacentral:rRNA from 1 species
AUUGAACGCUGGCGGCAGGCUUAACACAUGCAAGUCGAGCGGAGGUGAGGUGCUUGCACCUUAUCUUAGCGGCGGACGGGUGAGUAAUGCUUAGGAAUCUGCCAUUUAGUGGGGGACAACAUUCCGAAAGGAAUGCUAAUACCGAAUACGUCCUACGGGAGAAAGCAGGGGAUCUUCGGACCUUGCGCUAAAUGAUGAGCCUACGUCGGAUUAGCUAGUUGGUGGGGUAAAGGCCUACCAAGGCGACGAUCUGUAGCGGGUCUGAGAGGAUGAUCCGCCACACUGGGACUGAGACACGGCCCAGACUCCUACGGGAGGCAGCAGUGGGGAAUAUUGGACAAUGGGCGGAAGCCUGAUCCAGCCAUGCCGCGUGUGUGAAGAAGGCCUUUUGGUUGUAAAGCACUUUAAGCGAGGAGGAGGCUACUAGUACUAAUACUACUGGAUAGUGGACGUUACUCGCAGAAUAAGCACCGGCUAACUCUGUGCCAGCCGCCGCCGUAAGAC